AACCAUUCUCACCUGCGGCUAGACCUGCGGAGGGAUCAUUACAAGUGACCCCGGUUUACCACCGGGAUGUUCAUAACCCUUUGUUGUCCGACUCUGUUGCCUCCGGGGCGACCCUGCCUUCGGGCGGGGGCUCCGGGUGGACACUUCAAACUCUUGCGUAACUUUGCAGUCUGAGUAAACUUAAUUAAUAAAUUAAAACUUUCAACAACGGAUCU
rnacentral:misc_RNA from 1 species